CUGGCUCAGGAUGAACGCUAGCGGCAGGCUUAACACAUAGCAAGUCGAGGGGGCAGCGGGAUGUAGCAAUACAUUGCCGGCGACCGGCGGAUGGGUGCGUAACGCGUAUGCAACCUACCUUAUACAGGGGAAUAACCUUUCGAAAGGGAGACUAACACCCCAUGGUAUUGAUUUAAGGCAUCUUAGAUUAAUUAAAUAUUUAUAGGUAUAAGAUGGGCAUGCGUAUGAUUAGCUAGUUGGUAAGGUAACGGCUUACCAAGGCGACGAUCAUUAGGGGUUCUGAGAGGAAGGUCCCCCACACUGGUACUGAGACACGGACCAGACUCCUACGGGAGGCAGCAGUGAGGAAUAUUGGUCAAUGGGCGCAAGCCUGAACCAGCCAUGCCGCGUGCAGGAAGACGGCCUUAUGGGUUGUAAACUGCUUUUACAUAAGACUAACCGUAUAUUUGCGAAUAUACCUGAAUGUAUUAUGAGAAUAAGGAUCGGCUAACUCCGUGCCAGCCGCCGC
rnacentral:rRNA from 1 species